rnacentral:pre_miRNA from 1 species
UUUAAGUAUAAUUGUGCGUUUCUCCGUUUCUGUGUUUGAUUCAUCUUAUUUGAAAUUUUUUAUGAUUAAUAUUUUUAUUGUUAUUAUAUGAUAAAAUAUGAAUAGUACUUUAUGUGUGACUUUUUUUUAAAUUUUUCACAUAUUUUCCAGACGGACGGUUAAACGUUGGACACGAAAUCCACCACCACACUUAAA